rnacentral:rRNA from 1 species
CCUACGGGUGGCUGCAGUAGAGAAUCAUUCACAAUGGGGGAAACCCUGAUGGAGCGACGCCGCGUGGGGGAAGGAAGGUCUCCGGAUUGUAAACGCUUUUCAUGGGGGAGCAAAUUAAAAAGAUAGUACCACAAGAGGAAGAGACGGCCAACUCUGCGCCAGCAGCCGUGGUAAGACAGAGGGCUCAAUCGUUGUUCGGAAACAGUGGGCGGAAAGGGUGCGUAGGUUGUUACUAAAGAGCUGAGUGAAAGGGGCGGGCUAAACCCGCGGACGGCAAAUGAUACUGCGAGACUAGAGUAAUGGAGGGGGAACCGGAAUUCUCGGUGUAGCAGUGAAAUGCGUAGAUAUCGAGAGGAACACUCGUGGCGAAGGCGGGUUCCUGGACAUUAACUGACGCUGAGGCACGAAAGCCAGGGGAGCGAAAGGGAUUAGAUACCCUAGUAGUC